rnacentral:tRNA from 1 species
GGAGGGAUGGCCGAGAGGCUGAAGGCAACGCUUUGCUAAAGCGUCGUACCCCUUUAACCGGGUACCGUGGGUUCGAAUCCCACUCCCUCCG